rnacentral:misc_RNA from 1 species
CCGAGUUAGGGUGUCUCUUCAAUGACCAGCGCCCGAACCUCCAACCCUUUGCUUACUUGACCUUUUUGUUGCUUCGGCAGGCCCGCCCCUCUUCGGGCCGCCGGGGGUGCCUCUUGUUCACUCCUGGCCAGUUUUGCCUGCCGACGGCCCCAAAAUUCAAACUCUUGUUAAAACGUGUCCUCUGAGUGAUUGUUAAAAAAUUAAUAACAAAAA